CCCCCAACAGGCGAGAAGCAGCCGCGUCCACAUGGCUUCAGGUGUUCACAUGGCAGUAAACGGGCCCCUGCUCUCCUGGGCGCCCCAGCGCGGCGCCCUCCCGCCCACAUCCCGGCCCAGCCCCGCUGGCCUCGCCUCCAGCCCGUAGCCAAGAGGCGAGCGCGGCCGGUGCCCCCGGGGCUGCCAGGGGCCCCGAAGCAGGCGGCGCUGACUCCCGGACGCCGCCCGCUCACACCCGCCGCCUUUGCACCCAAGGCCUCGCGCGACCAGCAGGUCACUGAUUCUACUACCAUCUGUCAGCGUGGAUUGAUUGAGGAGACUGGCCCUGCUCGGCAGAUCAGUGACUUGUGCGAAGUGAGCCAGGGUGUCGGUGCCUUCAGAGCAGGCGGAUGUCCUUCCUCACUUGCCAGCUCUCGUGAGCAGACACACAGCCCUCACCUUUAUCCUUCACCAAGCUCCAGCUCUCCUUCCUCUUGGGAGGCGCCGCCUGCUAACUCAGUCACACCAAGAGGGAGGCCUGGAAUUCCUGCUCACAAGCUCGGGGCUUCAUCUGCAGUCUGCCAGGAGGCAACUUACAAAAGCCUCUGGCUAACAGAGCGGGAAACUCCCCACAGCCUCCUGCUGUGCCUGUCCCCAAGCCACGCACUGUCCCCUUGCAAAGCACAAGGAUACUGAGAGUGCACAAACAGCAGGGGUGGAGAGCCUCUGUGGGCACGCCCUCAUUCUGUGCCCUCAUUCCACAGGAGCCCCUGCUUUGUGCAAGUCUCUGAGCCCGCAUGGAGGGAGCAUGGGGGCUCAGAACAGUUCUUUCUGGGGCAAGGUCAGGGGAGGCUCUAAAGUUAUGGUGGUGGGGAGGGCCUUAAAACAGAGGACCAGAGAAUACCAAGACUUAGGGGUGUGGGGGAGAGCCACCUGCUGUGCCCAGGAGGACUGUGCCCAGUGCAGGGGAAAAAGAUGAAGCUGCGGAGUUGGGCAAGGGUGGGAUCCUGCAGGGCCUUAGAGCAUUGACAUGUUUGGCAUGGAUUUGUUUCACAGGGUCCCACAGAAACUUCUGCUCUCCAGGUUUGCCCCUCCACUCUGCCCUCCAGGAUAGAAGUGUGGCAUCCUAAUCUGGGAUGCAUCCAUCUCUCCCCCUGGACUGUGAGCAUAUGCAGGGCAGAGACACCUCUGCUUCUCUUGGGUCUCCGGCAUCCUGUGCAGGGUAGGGCACCAUGUCCAUUAAAAUGAUGUUAAUGAGGAUGA
rnacentral:lncRNA from 10 species